ensembl:lncRNA
UGAAGGAGAGGAGACAGGUUAAAUCCACUUCAGAGUAGAUGAAGGAGAGGAGACAGGUUAAAUCCACUUCAGAGUAGAUGAAGGAGAGGAGACAGGUUAAAUCAGUAUUUCUGGAAAUUAGGAAGUUCUUUGUCCACUCAGUGUAUAUCUGUGGCUCUGGCUGCAGUCUUUAUAAUGGACAGUUUGGAAAAGCCGUUCUGCAACACACUCACUCUCUCUCACACACAUGGUCAGGCCGGCCCCCACAGGAGCCCACAAUGACAUCAUAGUCUCACCUCUGACCCAAGAGAACUUCUUCUUGGUUGGGGUUUGAAGGCGGUGUACAUACCAGUAUUACUGCCAUACCCAAGAAAACAUUUAAAGGGGAGGGGCUUAAUGGCCAACUCAGCCAAUCAGAAGUAAUGUCCAAAAUUAUGUCCACUCUGCUGUUUGAUGGGCUCCAUCAGUGAUGAUGUCAUCCCGCUCAGUCAGAGCCAUCCUGGUUCUCCAGGAUCAGAUCUGAAGGAGAGAAGAAGAGGAGGAGGAGAGAGAGAGAGAGAGAGAGAGAGAGAGAGUGUGAGACAGAGAGUGAGUGAGUGAGUGAGUGAGUGAGUGAGUGAGUGAGUGAGUGAGUGAGUGAGUGAGUGAGUGAGUGAGUGAGUGAGUGAGUGAGUGUACCUGUCAGUGUGCUGCUGACAUUUGUAGGAGAAACGAUAAGCACCGCCCCCUUAGCUAUCCCAGAAUCCACCGCCUGCUCCUGAGAGGGAGAGUCCAGGACCUUGGCAGUAAAGCUGUCUGUCAUUGGCUCCAGAGUCUCGGUGGCUCCACCUUGUGAGGAACCAAUCAGGAAGUUCUGCUCUGGCUCCUCCCCCUGCAUCUCCACAACCAGCUGUGAUUGGCAAAGAGGCUCUGGAGAGCUGUGGUCAGAGGUGACCGUCUGAAUGAUGACGCUGUCAUUGGAACAAAGACCCUCCGUCUGACAACAAGAAAACAUGCUGCACUUAAAGUCAGAUAAUAAUUAGUUUCUAUGGG